CGGGGCGUAGCUCAGACAGGUAGAGCGGCCGGUUUGGGACCGGCAGGCCACAGGUUCAAGUCCUGUCGCCCCGACCA
rnacentral:tRNA from 1 species